rnacentral:lncRNA from 1 species
CUGAUUUUUCUUUUGGUUUAUAUGCAGAUACCCUAUUAUGACGAUUUGUCCACUGAAGCUAUAUAUGAUUUGAUUGUACACAUCUUUGAUAUAUCAUUUUGAUAACAUCUUUUUUCCUCAAUCUGGUAAAAAAAUUUUACUCAAUUUGAUAACAUCUCUCAGAUAAAUCAUUUCAAUAGCAUCUUUUUGUGCUGCGAAUAUUUUUCUUUUUUUGAUUUGUAGAUUUAUAUUAUUGUUUAGAAUUAUAAGCUUAUAUAUACACAUAUUUGUUUUUUGGUUUGCUGAUUGUGAUUUUGUUUUAUAUUUUUUCAGAGAUGAUUUGAGAGAAGUGGUCAUAUUUCAGACCUCUAAGAGUUCACCAUUCCGAUCCUGCAAAAGAUGUGCACUUAGAAUGAUAUUUUCUCUACUUUACAUCAAAAUUGGAUAAUCAAUUAUAUUUUUAAAAUAUCUAUAGUAGGAUGGUAUUUUCUCUACUGAAAUAAUAUCUUAUUUCCUAAUCUCAUGCUUUAAUAUUUAAACUUUAAGGACAAGAUUUGUCAAUUAAAUCAUUAGUGUAAACUACUCCCGAGAUAUUCUCUUUUUUAUAUUUAAAAUGUAAUUUUAGUAACAAUAUAUUUCAUAAAUAAUCCUAACUUAUAGGUAGAUACAUUUUUAAAAUUAAUUUGAGAACAUUCUAUUACAUAGCUUAUUGUGAAAGCUAAAUAUUUU